UGACAACCUAAUUAGAAAAACGAAAGAACAAGGGAAAAGUGAGCAACAAUUCUGGAAUGGUGCAUUUUGAUGGUCUCUCUCCUUCACCUUGACGAGCGUGCAUGGACGAAAGAAUAGAUGACGUUUGCAGUUAACCCUCCACAUCAGAAAAAAUUCAGAGAAUUCAGUUGCUUUAUUAUCUCUAAGGAAACAUGUUUGAAGUGCAGCGUACUCUACUUUCCUUCUUGAAUCUCGAAACAUUUUUUCAAAGGUUGUACAGAACACAAGGAGUGCAUGUUCGGUUUGCCCUGAGCCCAACAGGUUACCUGCAUCUCGGAGGCCUCCGUACAGCUCUGUGCAACAUGAUGCAACUAUUCUUUGGCUCGAGAAAACCAAGGGUAUUCUAUUCUGCCCUUGGAAGACACGCACUAAACAGGAAUCAUACCAGAUGCUGCCGGUAACCUCCAAGAGGAUCCAUACUGGACUGAAAUCAUCCCCCACAAAGACUCGACAAGGGGAGGACCCGCAGGCUCCUACUUUCUAUCAAAGCGUCUCGAAUUAUACAA
rnacentral:misc_RNA from 1 species